CGCAUCUGUGCAUGCAGCAUAUCAAUAAGCGGAGGAAAAGAAACUAACAAGGAUUCCCCUAGUAACGGCGAGUGAAGCGGGAAGAGCUCAAAUUUGAAAUCUUAAAGGGUUUCCCUUUACGAAUUGUAGUUUAAAGAAGUGUUUUCUGUUGAGGUUUUGGUAAAAGUUCUUUGGAAUAGGACAUCAUAGAGGGUGAGAAUCCCGUAUUUGACCUUUACUUUCAACUUUGUGAUACACUUUCAAAGAGUCGGAUUGUUUAGGAAUGCAGUCCAAAAUGGGUGGUAAAUUUCAUCUAAAGCUAAAUAUUGGCGAGAGACCGAUAGCGAACAAGUACCGUGAGGGAAAGAUGAAAAGAACUUUGAAAAGAGAGUUAAACAGUACGUGAAAUUGUCAAAAGGGAAGCGUUUGACACCAGUGUUGUUUUUCUGAAAAUCAAUUAAAGAACUGUUUAUGCUAAGCUGUUUAGACUUUAUCAGCUAUCUGUUUAGUUUUGAGCUUUUCUUUAAUGCACUUUUCAGGUUAACAAGUCAACAUCAAUUUCUUUUGCUGUAAAAAAGCUUGAGGAAGGUGGCUUGAGAUUCGUCUUAAGUGUUUAUAGCCUCUUGCCUAUGCAGUCGGAGAGAUUGAGGUCUGCAGCGUAGAUCCUUCGGGGCUAAAUGCAUUUGUGCUAAGUUAUAGCAUUUUAUAGACAACUUGUUGACUAUGAUUUGUCUUGUAGCUUACUCGCUUAUGUUAUUUUACCUACGCUUAGGAUGUUGAGUCAUCACACAUCUCU
rnacentral:rRNA from 1 species